UACAGAGGUCCCAAGCGUUGUUCGGAUUCACUGGGCGUAAAGGGUGCGUAGGCGGUCGGGUAAGUCUGACGUGAAAUCCCGCAGCUCAACUGCGGAACUGCGUCGGAUACUAUUCGGCUUGAGGAAUGGAGGGGAGACUGGAAUUCUCGGUGUAGCAGUGAAAUGCGUAGAUAUGUGGAGGAACACCGAUGGCGAAGGCAGCCCCCUGGGUCAAAACUGACGCUCAUGCACGAAAGCGUGGGGAGCAAACAGG
rnacentral:rRNA from 1 species